AGGGAAAUAAGUAUUUGACCCCUCUGCAAAACAUGACUUAGUACUUGGUGGCAAAACCCUUGUUGGCAAUCACAGAGGUCAGACGUUUUGUUGUUAUUCUAUCUCUCACUGUUCAAAUAAACCUACCAUUAAAAUUAUAGACUGAUCCUUUCUUUGUCAGUGGGCAAACAUACAAAAUCAGCAGGGGAUCAAAUACUUUUUUCCCCCACUGUAGGGAGGAGAUAUCAGUGAUGAACUUGUGCAGUCUAGAUGGGGUGAUAUAGAGCUGAUGGAGGAAAAUAAACUGGAUCAGUCUGUAUCUGGAGUUCAAUGUGGAUGUAACAACAUCCCUGCAUAGGUCACUCCAUAGACCCUCAUCAAGAUCAAUACCCAGAUCUUUUCCCCAUCUAAUUCAGGAUUUAUCUAGAUCAUGCAGUGUUAGUCCUGACAUAAGAGCAUCGUAAACACGGAAAAUGGUCUUGAACAGUGGUUGGUCUGCAUGGCAGAGUUGUUCAAUAGGUGACAUCUUAGGUAGGUGCCAUUGUCCCUUCAGAGUCACCCUAAUUUACAUUUAACAUUUACAUUUACAUUUGUCAUUUAGCAGACGCUCUUAUCCAGAGCGAUUUACAAAUUGGUGCAUUCACCUUAUGAUAUCCAGUGGAACAACCACUUUACAAUAGUACAUCUAAAUCUUUUAGGGGGGGUUAGAAGGAUUACUUUAUCCUAUCCUAGGUAUUCCUUAUAGAUUUACUGUCCCAUUUGUAAAACAAUUCAGGACCAUUAUCAAACCUCUGAGCCAGAAAUCUAGGCUAAGCAGCCCAGUAGUACAUUCUGAAAUUGGGGGGUUUAAGCCCCCAUAAUCAAGGGUCAGUUUAUCCAGGCUAACCCUCGGGGAUUUUCCGUGCCAGAUAAACCGUCUGGUCAGCUUGUCGAGAGAGGAAAAGAAUGGCAAGCUGGCCAGAUUGAGUUUAUAGAGGUUGUUCAGGUCCCCCUCCACCCUUUACAACAAGCUGGCCAGAUUGAGUUUAUAGAGGUUGUUCAGGUCCCCCUCCACCUUUUACAACAAGCUGGCCAGAUUGAGUUUAUAGAGGUUGUUCAGGUUACCAUCCACCAUUAUGCCCAAAUAUGUGAAGCCCAUAGGCGACCAUCUAAAAAGAAACUUAUGUUUGAUGGUAUGAUGGUCAAAGACAGACGACAGUAAGAUUUAGCUUUUAUCAGAUUUCUACUUUGCACAUUCUUCCACUGCAAAUCUACCAUUCCAGUGUUUUACUUGCUAUAUUGUAUUUACUUCACCACCAUGGCCUUUUUUUACCUUUACCUCCCUUAUCUCACCUCAUUUGCUCACAUUGUAUAUAGACUUAUUUUUCUACUGUAUUAUUGACUGUAUGUUUGUUUUACUCCAUGUGUAACUCUGUGUUGUUGUAUGUGUCGAACUGCUUUGCUUUAUCUUGACCAGGUCGCAAUUGUAAAUGAG
rnacentral:lncRNA from 1 species